rnacentral:snoRNA from 1 species
AUAUCGUGGUGUGGACAUUUUCUUAACAUUGCUUUUAUCCUUUCCCAAGCUUGAUAAAUUGACUCUAUGUCAGUCUGCAAGAAAUUAGAUAUGUCUUGUCUUAAUUU